rnacentral:rRNA from 1 species
CCUACGGGCGGCUGCAGUGAGGAAUAUUGGUCAAUGGACGAGAGUCUGAACCAGCCAAGUAGCGUGAAGGAUGACGGCCCUAUGGGUUGUAAACUUCUGUUAUAAAGGAAUAAAACGAGGCACGUGUGCCUUUUUGCAUGUACUCUAUGAAUAAGGAUCGGCUAACUCCGUGCCAGCAGCCGCGGUAAUACGGAGGAGCCGAGCUUUAGCCGGAUUUAUUGGGUUUAAAGGGAGCGUAGAUGGGUUGUUAAGUCAGUGGUGAAAGUUUGCGGCUCAACCGUCAAAUUGCCCUUCAUGCUGGCAGUCUUGAUUACAGUUGAGGUAGGCGGAAUUC